rnacentral:tRNA from 1 species
AAGAAGAUAGUGCAAUGGUAGCACAUCGGUUUCCGAAGCCGAAUAUGGGAGUUCGAUUCUCCCUCUUCUUG